CCUGAUGCAGCCAUGCCGCGUGUGUGAAGAAGGCCUUCGGGUUGUAAAGCACUUUCAGUUGUGAGGAAAAGUUAGUAGUUAAUACCUGCUAGCCGUGACGUUAACAACAGAAGAAGCACCGGCUAACUCCGUGCCAGCAGCCGCGGUAAUACGGAGGGUGCGAGCGUUAAUCGGAAUUACUGGGCGUAAAGCGCACGCAGGCGGUUUGUUAAGCUAGAUGUGAAAGCCCCGGGCUCAACCUGGGAUGGUCAUUUAGAACUGGCAGACUAGAGUCUUGGAGAGGGGAGUGGAAUUCCAGGUGUAGCGGUGAAAUGCGUAGAUAUCUGGAGGAACAUCAGUGGCGAAGGCGACUCCCUGGCCAAAGACUGACGCUCAUGUGCGAAAGUGUGGGUAGCGAACAGGAUUAGAUACCCUGGUAGUCCACACCGUAAACGCUGUCUACUAGCUGUGUGUGCCUUUAAGACGUGCGUAGCGAAGCUAACGCGCUAAGUAGACCGCCUGG
rnacentral:rRNA from 1 species